GAUGAACGCUGGCGGCGUGCCUAACACAUGCAAGUCGAACGAAGCUUGACGGAUUAUUUCUUCGGAAUGAAACCAGAUAUGACUUAGUGGCGGACGGGUGAGUAACACGUGAGCAACCUGCCUUUCAGAGGGGGAUAACGGCUGGAAACGGUCGCUAAUACCGCAUGAUGUGUUCGGAUGGCAUCAUCUGAACAUCAAAGAUUUAUCGCUGAAAGAUGGGCUCGCGUCUGAUUAGUUAGUUGGUGGGGUAACGGCCUACCAAGUCUACGAUCAGUAGCCGAGCUGAGCUGUUGAACGGUCACAUUGGGACUGAGAUCCGGCCCAGACUUCUACGGGAGGAAGCAGUGGAGAAUAUUGCACAAUGGCGGAAACACUGAUGCAGCAUCGCCGCGUGAAGGAUGACGGUUUUCGGAUUGUAAACUUCUUUUCUUAGUGACGAAGACAGUGACGGUAGCUAAGGAAUAAGCAUCGGCUAACUACGUG
rnacentral:rRNA from 1 species